rnacentral:lncRNA from 1 species
UAGUCAGCAUAGCAUAGGGUAUGGAAAGAAAAGAAAGAAACAAAAUUGUAAUAAAUUUGAUUGUAUUUGGAAGAAAAGAAUGUAAAUGUAAUGUGUGUAGUUGAUGUUUCUGAUGCCUUCUUUAUACAAUCUGUGUAUGAAUUCUGUUCCUGGUUGGAACCCCUUGAAUUGUACUGAUUGUGAUGCCUUGAGCGGACAAGGGAAAUUUUGUCGUUUGGCGAUCUGUGCGCACGUCCGAAU